AACGUAGGACACGAGCGUUAUCCGGAGUUACUGGGCGUAAAGGGCGUGCAGGCGGUUGGGGAAGACUGAUGUGAAAGCGCCCGGCUUAACCGGGCGAGGACAUUGGUGACUGCGCGACUAGAGGCAGAUAGAGGGGUGUAGAAUUCCGGGUGUAGUGGUGAAAUGCGUAGAGAUCCGGAGGAAUACCAGAGGCGAAGGCGGCACCCUGGGUCUGACCUGACGCUGAGACGCGACAGCAUGGGGAGCGAACGGG
rnacentral:rRNA from 1 species